ensembl:lncRNA
CCCAAUCCUCUCCAGCUCUUGGGGAUCCUCGGGCUCCUGGGCUGUGUCUCUGCAGGAUUGUUUUUGUGGCUGGCAGAGCGUGGCCACUUGAGAAGGUGUUGUUGAGAUCCAGAGUGAUCCUUGGCUUAAAAUCCAGCUGGAAGCCUCAAGUUUGGGGCCUGUGAGACGCUGGCCACAGGAAGGAAAUUUGGGUGUUCCUCCUCCUUCACAGAGCUGAGCAUCACCACAGCAAAAGUACAGGCUUUCCAAAAGUCUCUUGUGAUGGUGGGGUCUGCCCAGCUGCAGAGACAUCGAUUCAUUACAAUAACCAGCAAGCACAGGACAGGGGAUGGGGCCCACACUUCCCUUUUUGCAGCAGCUGUAUCAGUCACAACCACUGUUACCUGGGUACAUGAUCCUUCAACCCUCUCUGGACCACACUGCAUAUUUGUGUUGCACAUUUAUCUUUAUUUUUUGCCCAGGGAGGCCUUUAACACCAGCUCUGCCCAGACAUCCAGCUGCAUUUCUGAUCUGAGGGGAUGGGGGACACAGCCCAGCUCCAGCCAGGACAGGAGCAGGAGAUGCUGGAGGCUCCCAAAGCUGUGA